rnacentral:lncRNA from 1 species
UUUUCGUACUGUAACCAUAUGGGAGGUGAUACAGUGCCUUUCCUUUGUGAUUAAGGUCACGGUAGUCACUUGGAAGGAUCCUUUAAGCUUCCAGAAAUGACUUAAUCUCUAAGAUAUUGCAAAUUGUUCUUCACUCAGUGAGUUGGUUUUGUUUCCAAGUCCGACUUCUGAGUACAGCAAGUGAGGUGGCUUCGGGCAGUCAGCUCCUGAACCCCCUAAAAAGAAAGGGCAGGGCCUGCAGUGGACAGCAGCCAGACAGGGAGGAAGACUCACUGCCAAGUCAGGGUUCUCUGCCUUGAUUCCCUCAGGAUGCACGUUGACUGAGGGCCCCAGGGGUUGCCCUCUCGAAGGCGUGUCCAGAGCUACGUACCUUUCCUGGGACUCAGCAGUAACUUUAAACGCUUGUGCUCAUGUGAAGAGCACAUUGGCAGGCAAGUGCCUGACUAAUGUUAUUUUCAGGAUGACCUUUUACCCAUUCAGAUCUACCAUGUGUAAAAGGAAAACUAUACUCCUGGCACUAGAUUCCUGCAGGCAGCCCACCUCCUGAGUCAUCCAGACACUGACAGAGAACAGCCAUGCUGGCAGCUGGUGGUUAGUCCUGGAGUCGGAGGGCAGCACUGGGAAAGAAAAAUAAUUACCUGGAGAUAAUGUAAUCAUCGUACAUUUUACAAGUAAUGGUGCUUUAAAAAAAUCUCCUCAAGGUCAAACUGAUCCUCCUAAUCAGUUUACAUCAUGGAAGAGAGAAUUACAUCUUAAAUGGAUUACUUCAGCAGCUUCAGUUAAUUUAUACAAAAAUCAACCAACUCAUUAAGCCUCUCUAUUGGUUAAUGAUUCUAGCAGCCAGUUGAAAUGGAAGAAGAGAAUGAAUUCUAGUUUAAAGUGAAGUCUUAGAUUGUGGCAUGAUUAAAACAAAACAGGGCCAGGUGUGGUGGCUUACGCCUGUAAUCCCAGCAUUUUGGGAGGCUGAGGCGGGAGGAUCACCUGAGGUCAGGAGUUCGAGACCAGCCUGGCCAACAUGAUGAAACCCCAUCUCUACUAAAAAUACGAAAAUUAGCCGGGUGUGGUGGAGGGCACCUGUAAUCCCAGCUACUUGGGAGGCUGAGGCAGGAGAAUCACUUGAACCUGGGAGGCAGAGAUUGCAGUGAGCUGAGAUUGCGCCACUGCAUUCCAGCCUGGGCUACAGAGCGACACUCCGUCUCAAAAAUAAAUAAAUAAAAAUAAAACAAUACCUUUAAAUUAUGUGCAUGUAUUCUAGUCUUCUGGUUUCUGAAGACUGUAAUGCCAUCCUUGGUAAAGCUGAACAGUCUAGUUAGAUUAUUUCUAAGGUCUUCAUUUCUACAUUAUGUUCAUUACCUACAUUUGCAUUUAUCAAUGUAGUGGAAAUAUCUUUUAAAUAAAUCAAACUUAACUGAAUGUUCUUCCUUACAGACUGCUUUUGUUGUUGAUGAAGUGAGCAACAUUGUAAAAGAGGCUAUAGAAAGCGCAAUUGGUGGUAACGCUUAUCAACACAGCAAAGUGAACCAGUGGACCACAAAUGUAGUAGAACAAACUUUAAGCCAACUCACCAAGCUGGGAAAACCAUUUAAAUACAUCGGUAAUGGAGUCUUGUUUCUUUUAUAUUUGCGGGAUGGUUUUUUAACACUGAUCAGAGGGGCAUCCAGUACCAGAAACAACAGCUAACGUGGCUCAACUCAAGGAAGGCUCCUGGUGGGAGUCGGUCGUGUGUGUAGUAUACGUUAGCGUACGCUUGACCAUUUGGCUGCUGGUACAAUUGCAGAUCGUAUGUGAAGCGGGAUCUUACAGGAGGUCCCAUCAGAUGCUUUUAGAACAAGUGAAGCAUAGAGGAAGUGUGGACAGCCCCCAGCUGACAGUGGCUCAACUUAGAAUUUUUCAACUUUGAUGGAUUUACCAGGGUAUUAAGUGCAUUUGCAACUUACAUUUUCAUAUAUUGUUGAUUUAUGAUGGGUUUAUGGGAUGUUGUAAGUCAAGGAGCACCUAUAAUUUGUCAAUAUAGUGAGACAAGGCAAUCUGUCCCUAUAAUUUUUAUCGAGAACAUCAACCACGUGGAGCUACAUACAUUGUACGUUUGCUAAAAGUGGACAGAAUGACAUUUGUGUUACCCAGUAGACUUCUCUAACAAAAAUUUGUUUUAACUUAAGUGACCUGUGUAAUUAUGCAGAAGAAUGGAGCUGGAUUACACACAGCAAGUUCCUGCUUCUGGGACAGCUCUACUGACGGUAUGAUUUUCAUUCAUGUUUGUGAAGUUUUGUUGUGUGAAAUAUAUGACUGGAAGUUUCCUAUCUUUGAAUGCAAUGCAUGUUUAUCACCUUUUAAAACAUUUAAUAAUAGACUUGCCAAGGUUCUUUGUGUAGCAUAGAGAUGGGUACUUGAAUGUUGGCCUUAUUGUGAGUAAAACGUCGUCCCCCAGCUUUCCCUGCCGUAAAUGCUGCUCUCUUCCCUCCCGCAGGGAGCUGCACUGUGCGAUGGGAGAAUAAGACCAUGUACUGCAUCGUCAGUGCCUUCGGACUGUCUAUUUGACCUGCAGUCCAGCCUAUGGCCUUUCUCCUUUUGUCUCUAGUUCAUCCUCUAACCACCAGCCAUGAAUUCAGUGAACUCUUUUCUCAUUCUCUUUGUUUUGUGGCACUUUCACAAUGUAGAGGAAAAAACCAAAUGACCGCACUGUGAUGUGAAUGGCACCGAAGUCAGAUGAGUAUCCCUGUAGGUCACCUGCAGCCUGCGUUGCCACUUGUCUUAACUCUGAAUAUUUCAUUUCAAAGGUGCUAAAAUCUGAAAUCUGCUAGUGUGAAACUUGCUCUACUCUCUGAAAUGAUUCAAAUACACUAAUUUUCCAUACUUUAUACUUUUGUUAGAAUAAAUUAUUCAAAUCUAAA